GUUAACUGCCCGCCGUUAUAUGUCUGAAAUACUGUUGAAAUAAAAAACAAACGGCGUUAAACCCAAAACAAACAAACAAUUUAUAAACAUGUAUCUGUAUGUCGUAUAAAUAAAUGGGAAAUGUCAGUGAUGAAAAAUAGAUUUUGAACAUCACUACUGAUUCGUAAAAUUCUAUAUGCAUGCAUGUGCAUCUGAUGUGCAGUAGGAGUUAUGGUUGGGUGAAGGUAUUAUACAAACUAUAUGUUGUGUUUUUCACUCAAUAAAUAUCGCAUUUCUUUAUCAUAUAAUUUUAUUUCUGACUAAAAGUCAAUGUUACAGUAGUCCAGCGUUCGUCUGUGUUAGCUUUUGUUAUAUGGAUUACCGUGGAAUACAAAUCGAGCGAAACCUUUCGGAUACGGAUUUUAGAUAUUAAUAAAGUCCAAAGAAGACCAGGUUUACCAUGAAAGUAAAUUGUUAGGGUCUACACUUGUUCCCGGAGACUGCAUAAACCGAUCAGUAAUGUUACCCGAACUUGAUGUCGGUGAUUGGCUCUACUACGAGGACAUGGGUGCUUACACUCUAAGUGUGGCUACAAUAUUUAACGGGCUGGACGCAACUGCAAUAAAAUACCAUUGCUUGGAAGAGUUGUGGUACCAAGUGUAUCCAGAUUGCAAGUCGGACGAAAAGUCAAUCACCUGAUUAUCUCAGUCAACACACCAAUGACAUAUAUCCUUUUCUUGAGGGGAAUGGAAGACGAGUGCAGCAAACAGUCUUGUUAAAGAGCUUGGACGUCAUUAUGCGUACGUUAAUGAUGCAGUUAACCUUGCCACCAGGAUCGUUUCAAUUUUAUUUAACUGUAGCAAUUCAUUGUACUUCGUGCAAAUAAAUAUUUAACUGCUAAUAUGUUUGUUCUUCUCUGACAAUGCAAGUGAGAGUUUUAAGUAAGCGACCCUUCAAAGGUUUUUAUAUGUAACACUUUUAAUUAAUUUUAUUACAAAAGGUGAAUGCCUACAUUUUGUAAUGUUAUUUCAGACAGAUAUAACAGACAGAUAUCCAAGCAUGCUGUAAAAAUUACAUUUAGGACUUGAUUUGUAAAUGACUAUACACAUUUUAACCACAAUUAUGAUAUCUUGUAUAAUUUUACAAUGUUUGAAAAGUUAAAACUGCACUUCAGAGUAAAUAAAUAUA